rnacentral:miRNA from 15 species
CAUGUGUAUUUGAUCAUAUCUA